GAAAUUGUUUCAGAAGAUGAUAAAGGAAAAUUGGUAGAGGUAAAGGAGACAAAUGAUGGUGAAAAGUAGAAAUAUCACAAGUUAACAGUCAGUAAGGGAAAUGACUCCAGCCAGUAACUCGACAAGUCAUGAGCUUGCAAAAUAUGUCACAGAAAGGCGGGUUUAUGGAGCUGCUGCAGAUCACCCAGUCUUGCUUAAACUAGAAGUUGUCAAACUGCUACACAGAUUUUGAGGAAACUUCACAGGAGUGAUCAGUACAAAGCCUAGUUAUGCAUAUUGCCGACAUGUUCUGCUUUGCUGCAGAAAAUGGCCGCCAGAGCUAAAGGUGAUCUACAACAUGAUUCUACAGCUGCCAAUAAACUUCGGUAGAGGAGCUGGAGGGGAAUGGAGUGAGCAGAUUGCAGUACAGUCAAACCUGUCUAUAAAGACCACCCUUGGGAGAGCCAAAAUGUGGUCUUUAUUGGGAGGUGGUCGUUAUUCAUAGGUUAAAAUAUAUUGUAAAUGUUAAAAUGGGAAACAAAACAUGUGUUCUUUAGAGCCAGGUGGUCUCUGUUCAGAGGUGGUCUUUAACACCGGUUUGACUGUAUACACAUCAGUGGCAGUGGAACAGGCAGACUCCAAUACAUACUACAUCUGUGGGAAAAGCACAAUGAAGUUCAGCUGUUUCCAGCUUGAAACACAUGGUAUGAUUUGUCCGCGAUCCGUAGACCAGAGCUCUCCCUACUGAGACAGCAGUAUCCAAUGUGGACAGCCUAGGAAGUCCUCAUCAAGUUGCAGUAGAUUCAUUGAAAAAAGAAAUGGAAGGUUGAAGUUGCAAGGAGAGACUGAUGGAAAAUGACAGUGACUGGACAGACAAUGAUGAUGGUGAAGAAGUAUAGAAAACUUGGGAAAACUUUUAAUAGUGGUCAUCAACAUGCAGUCAUUGAUUCCAGUAUUCCAGCCAAUGUAUCUCUCUCAUAGCCCACAAGAAGCAAUACCAGGAAAUAUGUGACAUUCAUCAGCCAGGUAGUCAUUUACUCCAAGUGGCAAGGUUAGAUACAGCCUGACACCAAAAUUCCCAUUCUUGGAAAAGGAGUGGAUGUUUUGUGCUGUGGACACUGCAGAAUCGUGGAUUUGACAGUUUUAACUUGAAUUGGCUAAAAAGGAUGUUGAUAUUGAUGCACUUCCUCGUAGCAACUUCAGUCCUACAGAUAUAUAAGGGGAGGCAAAAAUUAUCACUGUUGACCUAGAAACCAUUGACCUAAUUAUAUUGGGAAGAUGCCACAUGUCGCACAAAGCUCCAUACCACAACAAAAUCGCUAUAGCACAAAUAUCUAUGUCACACCUGAAAAGGAAAUUUCACCAGAGGCACAAAGGAUCACCAGGAUUGCAUGGAAUAUUCAGACACGAUGACCAUAAAAGCACAAUACCUGGAAUUAAGUCCACUGUAGAGAAAUUGUGUACUUAGCUUGAAAAGAUCCUAAAGUGAUUUUGGUAGCCGGUUAUGGAAGACAAUUUGAUUUUCCAGUUCUUGUCUCAGCUCUACUGUGCACAGAAAUAACUAGGACAUUAUUCAGUUUCUUCUGAAAAGUAUUCUUUUACCAGUGUUCAAUAAACUGUACCCUAAAUAGUCAUACCUGCUAUGACACUACUUGGUAUCCGGUACAAUGCCUAUAACUGACAGACAGACAAAUUUACUAUGAAAAACUGGGAAGGCCAGCCAAGGGUUUUCAUAUGUUAAAGAAAAAUUUCAAGCAGUGACGUAUACUCCUGAUAAAUUUGGUACCAUAAUGUUCAUUAUCUUAAGUAAAAAAUGACAAUUGUAAUUGGAAAUUUGAAUUGUGUUAUUUUACUCUAUAUUUAAGAAAAUUAAUGUAUUCAAACUUGUAAUUUUUUUCAUUUGUUAAAAUGUUAUAUUAUAGCUUUAAGCCUUAAUACCCUCUUUUUACAGUCUGCCUAAAGAAACACUUUAGUUGUUCUUGUGUAUUAUUUAGCCAUUUCCUUGAUUAAAAAUACACAACAAACUUCUAGCUCAAGACUUUCCAAGGUUGACAAGUUAUUACUUUCUUUGAUUUUGCUUAAGUUUGUUAAUUAUUUUUAAAUACUUUUGUUCAAAAUUUAUUAAGGUGUAAAACCUUUAAAUAAUAUCCUUAAGCAACAAAUGUUAUCAUUCAAUAGUAAAGUAAGAAGAAGACAACCUUUACUGUAAGCUAGCCCGCCCGCUUAGCUCAGUAGGUAAGAGCGUCGGUCUACGGAUCACGGGGUCGUGAGUUCGAUCCUCGGGCGGGGCAUAUGUUCUUCGUGACUAUUUGAUAAACGACAUUGUGUCUGAAAUCAUUAGUCCUCCACCUCUGAUUCAUGUGGGGAAGUUGGCAGUUACUUGCGGAGAACAGGUUUGUACUGGUACAGAAUCCAGGAACACUGGUUAGGUUAACUGCCCACCGUUACAUGACUGAAAUACUGUUGAAAAACGGCGUUAAACCAAAACAAACAAACAAACAAACAAAUUUACUGUAAGCUAAUACAGCUUUCUGUCCAAUGCCUGAAAUGUUUUUUUGUAAAUAUUUCAUGACUUUCUGAAUAAAAAUGUUUAAUUUAAAACUAUAAGUAAAGUAUAUAAACUUUUAAGGAGCAAGAAGACAAAAUUUCAUUUCAACUCGUGUAUAAAAUUAACUUUGUGAUAUUUUUCUUAGUGAUAAGUUUCUCAGUGAUAACUACACAUUUAAUUUUAUAUCUGUAUAGAUUUUUGUAGAGUUAAUUCAGGGGUAUACAAGACAAUAUUUAUAAAGAUUUUUUUAUGUUUUAAGCUACCUAACUAUUUAUAUGAGAGAAAAUUGAAAUUCUACUUCACUAUACUUACAUAUUACUGAAAAUUGGAAAUAAGCGAAAUUGUUACUUUCAUGGUUUAUCCCAGGCAGAAAGAUCAUCAUUUUUUUCCUGAUAUUUAUGUAUUAGCUUGAUUACACUUGUAAAGUACAAACAUAUAAGGGCUUACUGCAUAUUUAAUAAUUCAAAUAUUUUUGAUUUCUGUACCACUUUGUAUUUCUGUUACAAUUGGAUCUUACGCCUUAAUAAAAUUGAACUGAAUUGGAUUUUAAACUGAAACUGAACUGAACUGAAUUUUAAACUGGAACCAAACUGAACUGAACUGAAUUUGAAACAGAAACUGAACUGAAUUUUAAACUGGAACCAAACUGAACUGAACUGAAUUUGAAACAGAAACUGAACUGAAUUUUAAACUGGAACCAAACUGAACUGAACUGAAUUUGAAACAGAAAUUGAAAACCAAACUGACCUGAACUGAAUUUGAAACAGAAACUGAACUGAAUUUUAAACUGGAACCAAACUGAACUGAACUGAAUUUGAAACAGAAACUGAAAGCCAAACUGAACUGAACUGAAUUUGAAACAGAAACUGAACUGAAUUUUACACUGAAACUGAACUGAACUGAAUAUAGCUGGGUAAAAAACUAUAGUACAGCUUGCAAUAAGAGACCACCAAAGGGAAGGAAAAACAUGUUCUGUUUAUGCAACAUAGUUUGUUCUUUGAUAACGUAAAAAAAAGGAAUUGAAAAAGUGGUCUCUUAAUGCGAGUAGUCUCUAAAUCAAAUGUACUUGAUGAAACUUAUGCUUUUGUGCUGCAAAUUUUGUAAUGUAGUUUUGUUGUCUUUUUGAUGAUUUCUCUAAAUAAACUUUAAACAUUA